rnacentral:rRNA from 1 species
UACGUAGGUGGCAAGCGUUAUCCGGAUUUAUUGGGCGUAAAGGGAACGCAGGCGGUCUUUUAAGUCUGAUGUGAAAGGCCGGGGCUCAACCCCGGGACUGCAUUGGAAACUGUCAGACUGGAGUGUCGGAGAGGUAAGCGGAAUUCCUAGUGUAGCGGUGAAAUGCGUAGAUAUUAGGAGGAACACCAGUGGCGAAGGCGGCUUACCGGACGAUGACUGACGCUGAGGCUCGAAAGCGUGGGGAGCAAACAGG